rnacentral:lncRNA from 1 species
UGAUCCUUUCUUGCUUUUGACUAAGAAUUAUACAUCUUUGAAUGAUCUUCUGCAUGUGUGGAGUAUCCUUCUAAAUACCAGGGCUUCUGUGGAAAGAUAAUGAGAAAUGUUCUCUGUACCAGGAUCAGCACUGCUCCACACUUGCAUUAAGACCCGCUGAAGGAAGUGCUUCUGCCAGGAGGAGCAGAUAAACUGGAAUACUUCCAGGAGCUCUGGCAGGUACAUGCUGAAUGUCUUCAAGGACCUGGGUGAUGCUCAGCAAGUCAGUGAUGACACUGUAGUGAACUGGACCCUGAAAGAAUCUAGCAAGUCCACCUGCAUCCCAGAACUUCAAGGUGAAGAUUCCCCUUUUGUGUCCAAAAGGAGUGGCAGUUCCUAAUCACAGAAUCUUUCAGUCAGGUAGUGCUUCUAGAAAUCAAAUUGUUGUCCUUGUCAGUAAUGCUGGAGUAGUGGUUGGCUGGACUACCUUCCCUAAUUGAGAGCAAUGCAAAUCAACUCAAGCACUUCUUCGCAAUGAUCUCUCCUGUUUGCUCAGGCUUAUGAAAUGCUCACCCACUGAUCAGGGUUUGGAGAUUGAGCCCUUGUCUUUUUCUCAUCUUGUUGAAUCAUCAUAAGUUGUCAGGUUUUAAGUAUUUCUGUUAAACCGUGGCUUUGAAAUGUGUAUUCUGUGACUAUUAUGUAGUAGCAGAAUGACAGGCAGUUUUCAGGUCAAUAAUAGUCUUAGUUGAUUAUUUCUAAAAAUGCAAACAGAAGGAAGAAUGUAAAUGUUAGCUGAUAAGUCCUCGAUUAUGCAUGCUAGCUAUUAGCCCUUACAAAUAUUAAUUACAACUUUUAACAGUUGGUAAAGUGGUCUUGACAUUUCAAAGGUGAAUUUACACAUUAAAGACACUUGUCUCUGCUGUGGAAAGAUCAAAAUGCAUGCAUAAAACUGGUGUGACAGGACUGCUACACAUCUUGAAGACUGAAUCUUAGUAAAGAGGGUAUUAGGUGAAAUUAUGGUGGGCAGGGGCAGAGCUAAUGUGCCAGUUUUG